AGAAUGCAGAAUAAAUAUGCUAUAAAUAAAUGCAACUUUUAGUUAAGGGUGAUGUAGUAAUACUGACACAUGCUGUUAAAAUACUUCCUAGGAGAGGUGGUUCAAGAUGGCAGUGUAGGGAGAUCUUUACCUCACCUCCUUCCAUGGACCCAACAAAUAUACAGCUACAUCUGGAACAAGUCCCUCUGAAAGGAAUCUGAGAACUGGUUGAACACCUGAUCAACGAAGGAUCAAAGGACCACACUGAGACAGAAGACUUUAGAAUAAUUCCCUCAUCUUCUCACCACCAAACUUACCAGCUACCUGCAUCUGCACUCUGCCUUCCUCUUUCCUGCUGUGUUGGAAGAAGUGUCCCUUCUUUAAUCAAAGUUCUGGAAGCUGGAAAGCCAAAGAUCAAAGUUCAGUUUCAGAAGAGAAGGAGCCAUGAAUUAUGGAGACACCUGUCACCUAAUGAAUUGACUAACAAACAAUAAAAUAGGAGAAGACGUUAAUAGAUGGUAGGAAGAAGGAGGGGCCUUUGUUAAGUAAGGCAACACAUCUCUUCAGACUUGUCCUGGUCACUCUACCAAUAAAAAGCAUGGGAUUGAUGCAUAUAUAUUA